rnacentral:rRNA from 1 species
CAGGUGGGACUACCCGCUGAACUUAAGCAUAUCAAUAAGCGGAGGAAAAGAAACUAACAAGGAUUCCCCUAGUAACGGCGAGUGAAGAGGGAAAAGCCCAAAUUUGUAAUCUGGCUCUUUUACAGGAGUCCGAGUUGUAAUUUUGAGAACUGUUUUCUGUGCUGGACCAUGUACAAGUCUGUUGGAAAACAGCAUCAUUGAGGGUGAUAAUCCCGUAGAUGACAUGGACUACCAGUGCAAUAYGAUACAGUCUCUAAGAGUCGAGUUGUUUGGGAAUGCAGCUCAAAGUGGGUGGUAAAUUCCAUCUAAGGCUAAAUAUAGGUGAGAGACCGAUAGCAAACAAGUACCGUGAGGGAAAGAUGAAAAGAACUUUGGAAAGAGAGUUAACAGUACGUGAAAUUGUUAAAAGGGAAACAUUUGAAGUUAGACUUGUUAUUAUUGGUUCAGCUUCUCUUUUUUAAUUAGGAGUUUAUUCCAAUGRUUGACAGACCAGCAUCAAUUUUUGAGUGUUAGAUAAGGGUCUUGGAGAAUGUGGCAACUUUGGUUGUGUUAUAGCUCCUGGCUUGAUAUAAUGCUUAAGAUUGAGGAACGCAGUGAGCUUUAAAUUUUUUGAAGUGGAUUCUUUUGAAUCUUCAUCACUACGGAUGUUGGUGU